CCGUUUCCGCUCGACUUAGUAAAUUGUUUUGAAUUGUUUGGCGCGUGUUGCCCGUGGUUGUCUGUAGCUGGAGGAACACUGCGACAUAGGAAGACCUGACUGCAGACUGCGUGUCGUGUUUGUGCUGGCGCAUUGGCCGUCCUGUAAAUCGGCUGCCGUCCACCCCCUGCCACCCUCCGGGUGGGGUGAGAGGGAGAAGACGAAGGAGUUGGAGGUAUGGAGCGAGAUCGCCUGGCAGCGCCGUUACCUGUUCUCCCCAGACAGCCCCAGAGCCGGAGAGGCUUGGAGGAGGAGAAGGGGGGGGUGGAACCGGAGAACAGAGGAGAUUCCUGGAGAGAGGACCUGGCUUCUGCUGCUUUAGUGGAGCCGAAGAAAAACUGGAACUCCCGAAGGAUGGACAGAUGGAGUUUUCCCCCCUGGGAGUUGAAGACGAAAGGAGUAUAGCCUUUCCCUGGGACGACGAUGCAGUGAGUGGUCCUCUCUCUGUUUCCCUCUGUCCGCCAGUUUUGCUCGCCCGUCCUCAGGACAUGCCUACUUCCUGCCCUCGUACGUCCAGUGAGAGGCAGCUGACGGAGUACACUGGCCUCUUUCCUUUAGUACAGUUGCAAUGAGAGCAACAGCAGGGAAAUAGAAUACAAUACGCUGUCUGGGAUUGAUAACUGAUGCUGUGUGUGUGUGGGCUGAACAGAAGAGUUGUAAUAUCAUGUGUUUGCUGUCGUGUUGACCAGGGCUGAAGUGAGUGGAUAAGAGGACAGAAAGAUACUAUCCGUCACUGCGCCCCUGUUUAGGCUGCCAUGCAAGGAACACUUUCUGGCACUUAGUGAUAGCAGCAGUCCUAAAAGGCUUUUUGAAUCAUAUUUUCGAAAGUGCCCUCUUUUUAAAGUACAGUAGUACUCACAGUAAUUAGCAAUCUAGCAAGAUAUAUGUGGAA